AUGGAUACUUCAGCUCCUUCACCAUUUGUCAAUGGAGAGACUCUGAAGAUGUUUCCUGGGCGACGAGUGCGCACAGUGGUUCAAGUCCAACACAAUGAAGGUGGAGUUCUUCUCGGGCUGUCCACUGAUGGACAUCAGUUGACUAUCAGAGGUGCCACUGGUGCCCCUGAACCACCACACUACAUUGAGGUUAUUGGGAUCGCUGACAGCAGCCUGUCCAUCCGUGCUGAAUCUUGCACUGAUUUUGGUGAAAACUUUGAUGGUGUGGCAUUCAACGGGCUAUGCAAGCUUGCGAAUGACAAGUACAAGUACCUGUUCCUGUAG
rnacentral:rRNA from 1 species